GCCCUGGUAGCUUCCGUGGGUAAAGCGUCUCCAUCGAUUAAUGUGCUCAUCACCUCGUGGAGAACGACCCAGGUUCGAUUCCUGGUCAGGGCG